UACAGAGGUCUCAAGCGUUGUUCGGAUUCAUUGGGCGUAAGGGUGUGUAGGUGGCGCCCGUAAGUCGGGUGUGGAAAUUUCGGAAGCUUAACUCCGAAACUGCAUUCGAUACUGCGGUGCUUGAGGACUGGAGAGGAGACUGGAAUUCCUGGUGUAGCGGUGAAAUGGCGUAGAUAUCAGGAGGAACACCGGUGGCGAAGGCGGGUCUCUGGGCCGAUACUGACGCUGGAGGAGCGAAAGCCGUGGGGAGCGAACAGG
rnacentral:rRNA from 1 species